GAUGAACGCUGGCGGCGUGCCUAACACAUGCAAGUCGAACGCUCUGCGCAAGCAGGGAGUGGCGGACGGGUGAGCAACACGUGGGGAUCUCCCUUCCGGUGAGGAAUACCAGCGAGAAAUCGCUGACAAUACCGCAUAGCUUUCCUUCGGGAAAGAAAGUCGCAAGACGCCAGAAGAUGACCCUGCGCCCGAUUAGCUGGUUGGUGGGGUAAUGGCCUACCAAGGCGACGAUCGGUAGCUGGUCUGAGAGGACGAUCAGCCACACUGGGAUUGAGAA
rnacentral:rRNA from 1 species